GGUUCUAUAUUGUAAUGGUUAGCACUCUGGACUCUGAAUCCAGCGAUCCGAGUUCAAAUCUCGGUAGGACCU
rnacentral:tRNA from 1 species